AGCUGGGAGCCUUUGAAUUCACAUCCACAAAAUGAGACCACUGCCUUACAAAGGUGUUUAUCCCCUGCUCCGUUCGGAGGGACCUCGGAGGGGAGAGGCUCCCUGCUCUCGGCCUGAAGGUCUUCACUCAGCCUUUGGGAAGGGAAGAUCCGGCUGUGGACCAUGCGGGUCGCCGAGGGAAGGACGGGGCUGCACGGGUGUCUGCAGGUUAAGGAAAAAGCUCACAUGGAAAAAAAAAAAUACCACGUCAUGAAUUACAAAUACCUGCAUUGUGAAGUAAGCCUUCUUCAUCACACUAAGCAUCCAGUAAAUACUGAACACUUUCUCCUCUCUAUCCCAGUGUGAGCUAUCAUCCCACAUCAUUACCCUGCUCCCCCAGCUCUGCCAAAAAAAAAAAAAAAAAAAAAGACUCCCA